UACUAGAGUAGCACUCGCAUAUCAAUAAGCGGAGGAAAAGAAACUAACAAGGAUUCCCCUAGUAACGGCGAGUGAAGCGGGAAGAGCUCAAAUUUGAAAUCUUAAAGGGCUUCCCUUUACGAAUUGUAGUUUAAAGAAGUGUUUUCUGUUGAGGUUUUGGUAAAAGUUCUUUGGAAUAGGACAUCAUAGAGGGUGAGAAUCCCGUAUUUGACCUUUACUUUCAACUUUGUGAUACACUUUCAAAGAGUCGGAUUGUUUGGGAAUGCAGUCCAAAAUGGGUGGUAAAUUUCAUCUAAAGCUAAAUAUUGGCGAGAGACCGAUAGCGAACAAGUACCGUGAGGGAAAGAUGAAAAGAACUUUGAAAAGAGAGUUAAACAGUACGUGAAAUUGUCAAAAGGGAAGCGUUUGACACCAGUGUUGUUUUUCUGAAAAUCAAUUAAAGAACUGUUUAUGCUAAGCUGUUUAGACUUUAUCAGCUAACUGUUUAGUUUUGAGCUUUUCUUUAAUGCACUUUUCAGUUAACAAGUCAACAUCAAUUUCUUUUGCUGUAAAAAAGCUUGAGGAAGGUGGCUUGAGAUUCGUCUUAAGUGUUUAUAGCCUCUUGCCUAUGCAGUCGGAGAGAUUGAGGUCUGCAGCGUAGAUCCUUCGGGGCUAAAUGCAUUUGUGCUAAGUUAUAGCAUUUUAUAGACAACUUGUUGACUAUGAUUUGUCUUGUAGCUUACUCGCUUAUGUUAUUUUACCUACGCUUAGGAUGUUGAUCUACAGAGCGAGAGU
rnacentral:rRNA from 1 species